CCUACGGGCGGCAGCAGUAGGGAAUCUUCCACAAUGGGCGAAAGCCUGAUGGAGCAACGCCGCGUGGGUGAAGAAGGUCUUCGGAUCGUAAAACCCUGUUGUUAGAGAAGAAAGUGCGUGAGAGUAACUGUUCACGUAUCGACGGUAUCUAACCAGAAAGCCACGGCUAACUACGUGCCAGCAGCCGCGGUAAUACGUAGGUGGCAAGCGUUAUCCGGAUUUAUUGGGCGGAAAGGGAACGCAGGCGGUCUUUUAAGUCUGAUGUGAAAGUCUUCGGCUUAACCGGAGUAGUGCAUUGGAGACUGGGAGACUUGAGUGCAGAAGAGGUAAGUGGAACUCCAUGUGUAGCGGUGAAAUGCGUAAAUAUAUGUAAGAACACCAGUGGCGAAGGCGGCUUGCUGGGUCGAUACUGACAUUGAGGCACGAAAGCGUGGGGAGCAAACAGGAUUAGAUACCCCAGGAGUC
rnacentral:rRNA from 1 species